AUGAUUUUAUUCAGCAGCAGCUCUCAUCAGCAGCUUUCUCACACUAGCUCUCUACACUGCCUUUAUCUUGCUGUUUGCUCGGGCUCUGUGGCUCCUGCCACCCCCACACCUGCAGCUGCAUGGCCAGCUCUCCCUCGCCUUUAUCUCGGAUGUUUGCUCGGGCUCUGUGGCACCUGCUGCCCCCACGCCUGCAGCUGCAUGACCAGCUCUCCCUCGCCUUCAGGGUCAGCAGCUUCACUCUUUCUCUCUCUUGGCACCAGCGCAAGCCAUGCUGUGGCUCACCUCUGUCCCUAAGACAGACAGCUCUGGUUCUCUCUCUCCCUUUCUCUGGAUGCCAGCACACCCAUCAUGUUAAGCCAUGUUGAGCUGAGCCGAGCCCGAAGAGCCCCUGUACAGCAUUAGCAGGGCAAUUAUACCUUUUACAGACAACAGUGGCUCAGAGCCAAGUAUGAACUUACACAAACAGGUUAUAUAACAAGUGGAGGUGUGCGCCUGUGCGCCAAACUCGCUGAGUCAUGUAGGCCUGGAUAUCCGCCUCGGCCUAUUCCUUGACCAAAGCACAUCCAUGUACCUUACACUGUGUAUCUGAGAAAAUUGACCAAAAUUAUGAACAUCAUGUCAUAUUCUAAGCAAUGAUUAUUAUAUUCUUAAAAUGAGUUGGAAAAUCCCUGUGGUAUCCAGAGAAGAAGUUAAAAUCACUUACGAGGAAACAACUAUCAGAUUGAUGUAAGAAUUCUCAAUAGCGACAUUUGUUAGAAAAAGAACGUAGCCUUUUAAAAAAUAAUUUAAUGGGAAGAAAAUAUGAGAUAAGAAUUUUAUGUCCAGCCAAAGUCUUCUUCAAAAUAAAAGCCACAGACAAACAGCUAUAAAUAUGCAAGACGUCAAGGGAUGUCAUUCUCAUAAUUACUUCCUGACAAAUCUACCAAAAAACCAAAAUCUACCAAACACACGUCUGUUAAAGGUUUAGGAAAUAUUUAACUUAGUGGAACUAAGGUUAUAAGAUGGAAAACUGGUGAAAAAAUAAUCUGUACUUUUUAUAUGUUCAAAUAUUAACACUAACAAAAAUACAAGGUAGGAAUAAUGGAUAGUGAAAUAAACUUUUCUCAUGUGCAUUAACGGGAGAUAAAUAUUACUUGAAGCUAACAAAUGAAGUAGUACAUGCUUAAGCAUAUUUAAGACUUAAAAUACAUCUAACAGUUAACAAUAUAUAGUAAAUUAAUAAAUGAGGUAGAAGCAUGAGUAAUUUGUGAUGUAAUGAUGAACACUAAAAUAAUGCUAGUGAUUAAACUUGGAAGGUAGGGGCAAAAGUGAGGGACUAACUUUAGUCUUAUUUGUAAUAAGAAAGUCAACACAGGGUACGUUAAAAAGAGGUGAUUAAGUAACGUUUUUAACGGUAUAAAU
rnacentral:lncRNA from 1 species